rnacentral:rRNA from 1 species
CGCAUUAGCUAGUUGGUGAGGUAACGGCUCACCAAGGCGACGAUGUGUAGCCGACCUGAGAGGGUGAUCGGCCACACUGGGAGUGAGACACGGCCCAGACUCUUACGGGAGGCAGCAGUAGGGAAUCUUCCACAAUGGACGAAAGUCUGAUGGAGCAACGCCGCGUGAGCGAUGAAGGCCUUCGGGUCGUAAAGCUCUGUUGUUAGGGAAGAACAAGUACCGGAGUAACUGCCGGUACCUUGACGGUACCUAACCAGAAAGCCACGGCUAAAUACGUGCCAGCAGCCGCGGUAAUACGUAGGUGGCAAGCGUUGUCCGGAAUUAUUGGGCGUAAAGCGCGCGCAGGCGGUCCUUUAAGUGUGAUGUGAAAGCCCACGGCUCAACCGUGGAGGGUCAUUGGAAACUGGGGGACUUGAGUGCAGAAGAGGAAAGCGGAAUUCCACGUGUAGCGGUGAAAUGCGUAGAGAUGUGGAGGAACACCAGUGGCGAAGGCGGCUUUCUGGUCUGUAACUGACGCUGAGGCGCGAAAGCGUGGGGAGCAAACAGGAUUAGAUACCCUGGUAGUCCACGCCGUAAACGAUGAGUGCUAAGUGUUAGGGGGUUUCCGCCCCUUAGUGCUGCAGCUAACGCAUAAGCACUCCGCCUG